rnacentral:lncRNA from 1 species
CUGGGAUGGGCGCUGUUGGCUGCGCGGAUCCACCUAUUAUUAGUGCGCCCGGAUUGGCUCCCCGGCUCAGCGUACCGGCGGUGGAGCCAAUCAGGCGGCCGGGGCUGGGAGAUGACGGGCGGCCGCCUCCUCACUGGAGGGAUUCCUGGAGAAGCUGCAGUGUGGGGAUGCUCUAGACCGAGUACUGCCCCCAGUGUCUUUCCACCUCCUCCUCCUGCAGCGGCGGCGGCAGCACUUGGCAGCGGCAACUUGAGACUGCACCGGGGCAAGCCCUCAGGGUGGUGCUCCCCGGAGAGCGGGGCUUGGUGCCCCGGAGGGGCUGCCCCUCCAAGAGCAGAGGCAGCGAAAGGAGUCGUGUGCACCGGUCAGCCCCGGGAGGCGGUAGGGACCAGCGAGCAGGCACCACCUCCUGUUCCCCGCUCCAGGAAAACCAAGAAAACGAGAACUAGCAAGAACUUGACAAACACCUGCCUUCAGAUUGGAAGACCAGUCACCUGUCAUUCCUGGACACUGUACUGCAGCUGUCUAAGGUACAUGGAAAAAUGUACAAUAUCAAAUGUACCUUUGAUAUCUUUUGUUGAUUAUCUUGUGAUAUGUGGAAGAAAAUGCAUUUGUAUGGAAAAUUAUAGGACUGUGUCUCUUAUUUCAAAUGAAUCUUUUUUGGCAGUAAAGGAAAUAGUAUUGUUCAUAUCUUUUGAAAUUACUACUGGGUGUUAAUGUCCUUGAUGUGCUAGUUUAGUUGAUGGAGCCCUGGCCACCUUUAUGAUGUUGUUGCCUUCUCCCAUUCUCAUUCUGUACUUUAUCAGAUCCAAAGUUGUCAUGGUUCAUUAUCUGUAGAUGAUCUUGAGCAGCCUUGCAUUCUGAAAGAAUAUGCCAUAGCAUCUGCCUCUGUGCUUCUGUGCCCUGCUAUUCAGAUGGGAUUUUAGCAACAGUAUUGGGUAAGGGGAGGGGGUGGAGGCAGAAUUUGUCUCAGGCUGAUGUUUCUUUGUGCCACUCUCUGUCUUACUCUUUC